AGAGUUUGAUCCUGGCUCAGAGCGAACGCUGGCGGCGUACUUAACACAUGCAAGUCGAACGGGGAUCACCGGGUUAGCAAUAAUUCAGUGGUCCUAGUGGCGCACGGGUGAGUAACACGUGGGUAACCUACCCUAGAGUUCGGGAUACCCCCUCGAAAGGGGGGCUAAUACCGGAUACGUUCCCUGGGUCGAGAGAUCAGGGGAGGAAAGGUGGCGCAAGCUGCCGCUCUUGGAGGGGCUCGCGGCCUAUCAGCUAGUUGGCGGGGUAAUGGCCCACCAAGGCUUUGACGGGUAGCUGGUCUGAGAGGACGACCAGCCACACGGGGACUGAGACACGGCCCCGACUCCUACGGGAGGCAGCAGUGGGGAAUUUUCCGCAAUGGGCGAAAGCCUGACGGAGUGACGCCGCGUGUGGGAUGAAGGCCUUCGGGUCGUAAACCACUGUCAGUGGGAAAGAAGGGCAUCGGCGCGAUAACCGCCGGUGUUUGACGGUACCUGCAGAGGAAGCCCCGGCCAACUCUGUGCCAGCAGCCGCGGUAAGACAGAGGGGGCAAGCGUUGCUCGGAAUUACUGGGCGUAAAGGGCGCGUAGGCGGGAUGGCAAGUCGGUCGUGAAAUCCUUCGGCCCAACCGAAGAACGUCGAUCGAUACUGCUGUCCUAGAGGAUUGCAGAGGAGACUGGAAUUCCCGGUGUAGCGGUGAAAUGUGUAGAGAUCGGGAGGAACACCGGUGGCGAAGGCGGGUCUCUGGGCAAUUCCUGACGCUGAGGCGCGAAAGCGUGGGGAGCAAACGGGAUUAGAUACCCCCGUAGUCC
rnacentral:rRNA from 1 species